UGGAGUUCGAGAGAGGUGAGUGGAAUUGCGAGUGUAGAGGUGAAAUUCGUAGAUAUUCGCAGGAACACCAGUGGCGAAGGCGGCUCACUGGCUCGAUACUGACGCUGAGGUGCGAAAGUGUGGGGAGCAAACAGGAUUAGAUACCCUGGUAGUCCACACCGUAAACGAUGAAUGCCAGACGUCGGCAAGCAUGCUUGUCGGUGUCACACCUAACGGAUUAAGCAUUCCGCCUGGGGAGUACGGCCGCAAGGUUAAA
rnacentral:rRNA from 1 species